GGUUAAGCGACUAAGCGUACACGGUGGAUGCCCUGGCAGUCAGAGGCGAUGAAGGGCGUGCUAAUCUGCGAUAAGCGCCGGUAAGGUGAUAUGAACCGUUAUAACCGGCGAUACCCGAAUGGGGAAACCCAGUGUGACUCGUCACACUAUCAUUAACUGAAUCCAUAGGUUAAUGAGGCGAACCGGGGGAACUGAAACAUCUAAGUACCCCGAGGAAAAGAAAUCAACCGAGAUUCCCCCAGUAGCGGCGAGCGAACGGGGAGGAGCCCAGAGCCUGAAUCAGCAUGUGUGUUAGUGGAAGCGUCUGGAAAGGCGCGCGAUACAGGGUGACAGCCCCGUACACAAAAGCGCAUGUGCUGUGAGCUCGAUGAGUAGGGCGGGACACGUGGUAUCCUGUCUGAAUAUGGGGGGACCAUCCUCCAAGGCUAAAUACUCCUGACUGACCGAUAGUGAACCAGUACCGUGAGGGAAAGGCGAAAAGAACCCCGGCGAGGGGAGUGAAAAAGAACCUGAAACCGUGUACGUACAAGCAGUGGGAGCCCCACCACCAAAGCAUUCUCUGGUGUUGAAGGCCCUGCAAAGCAGCAUCGCGGUGGCGGAGCGUCGUUUGCGACGCCCAACACACAAAACAAGCGGUGAGUGCUUUGGGGUGGGGUGACUGCGUACCUUUUGUAUAAUGGGUCAGCGACUUAUAUUCUGUAGCAAGGUUAACCGAAUAGGGGAGCCGGAGGGAAACCGAGUCUUAAUUGGGCGUUAAGUUGCAGGGUAUAGACCCGAAACCCGGUGAUCUAGCCAUGGGCAGGUUGAAGGUUGGGUAACACUAACUGGAGGACCGAACCGACUAAUGUUGAAAAAUUAGCGGAUGACCUGUGGCUGGGGGUGAAAGGCCAAUCAAACCGGGAGAUAGCUGGUUCUCCCCGAAAGCUAUUUAGGUAGCGCCUCGUGAAUUCAUCUCCGGGGGUAGAGCACUGUUUCGGCUAGGGGGCCAUCCCGGCUUACCAACCCGAUGCAAACUGCGAAUACCGGAGAAUGUUAUCACGGGAGACACACGGCGGGUGCUAACGUCCGUCGUGAAGAGGGAAACAACCCAGACCGCCAGCUAAGGUCCCAAAGUCAUGGUUAAGUGGGAAACGAUGUGGGAAGGCCCAGAC
rnacentral:rRNA from 1 species